GUGCAGGUAACAGUAGGGUAGGCAAAAGGACCAGCUGCUCCCGCUGAAACUCAGGUGGCAGGCCCAGAUGAGAGGCACAACGGGCCAGAGAUAGGGAGUCGCCUGGGGAACACCCACACCGAGCAUCUUCCCAUCCAGUCACCACCCAGUAGACUGCACCUGGCGGCCGGCUGCAGGAGCCUUUGAGUGAGCACAGAGAGUUCGAGCAGAAACCAUGGGAUACAAUUGUCUAAAAGCCUUGGUUCACAAGGAGUGGGUGUGGGCUGGAAAGGGGGAUUACGUAGGUCUCUCCGCCCCCUCCUCUGCCAUCUCUUAGCCACUGGGAGGGCGCCCAGGGGCGGAGGAGGCGCUGCGAACCCGUUUGGGGGCUCCUUUGUUUCUCUUCGGGCCCCUAUCUGCCGGCUGUACCCAAGCCUUGGGAUGCCAGCCCGGCUUGGGCGGCGACCCGCCCCAAGCCAACAAUUGAACCUCGCGGGAGAAGAGAGGGUGGGUAAAAGGGUGGAUCCCGGCUCUCCGGAGGCAGUGCGCUGCAGGGGCUUCGCAAGGCCUCCAACUGGGCACAGAUCAUGCUCCGGUCCGCACGCAGCAGAACUUUACAGAAGAGGAAACCACGAGAAACCAAGUGAAGCCUCAAUUCCCAUCCUCCUCCGUCCCCCGGGAGCACCUCCCUUCCAGCCUGCGCUCGUCACUUCAGGUGCCCAGUGAUUUCUCAAUGAACAUUUCCCUCUGUCUGGCAGGAAUCUGAUCUUCCCACCAGAUGAGUUCAACGCUGACUGUUUUUCAAACCAUAUCUCAAAAGCCACACAGAACCCUGAGCACACAUUUCACCAGAUUUGACAGAUGAGCUUUGGUAUGAAGAAAACCUCCAAGAAUGGACUUGGCUGAGGUGCAACAAUAAACACCAGAAUCAACCAAAUGAUAAUACCA
rnacentral:lncRNA from 1 species